rnacentral:rRNA from 1 species
UUUUAUGGAGAGUUUGAUCCUGGCUCAGGAUGAACGCUGGCGGCGUGCCUAAUACAUGCAAGUCGAGCGAACGGACGAGAAGCUUGCUUCUCUGAUGUUAGCGGCGGACGGGUGAGUAACACGUGGAUAACCUACCUAUAAGACUGGGAUAACUUCGGGAAACCGUAGCUAAUACCGGAUAAUAUUUUGAACCGCAUGGUUCAAAAGUGAAAGACGGUCUUGCUGUCACUUAUAGAUGGAUCCGCGCUGCAUUAGCUAGUUGGUAAGGUAACGGCUUACC